rnacentral:lncRNA from 1 species
AAACAAUAGAAACCUUGUAUUCAUCUUCUUCGGGAGGUUUAUUUACAUCAAUUACAAUGAAAAUUGAAGCUUCAUUAACAUAAACAAACCUUAAUUUAAUUAAAACGUACAGACCCUUUACCCUUGUGGCAAACCAAAGAAAAAGAUUUUCACUCCUCGGGAUUAGUCGAGCGAAACUCAAACACUUGUGUCGUAAGGAUUAAAGAAAAAAAAAAAAGACUGAGAACAACUUUACAAGUAGAAAUUUCAAGAACAAGUUAGCGAGAUCUUGGUUGAAAUAACCCCUUAAACAAAGCCAAAGCACCAAAACUUCCGAGUAGAUCCCAGGUUCAUCCUCUAGUUCUUCACUCGUUCUUGGUAUUCAGUCUUUAACCUGGGCACAGCUAUGGCGAAGAACAAGAUUCUCUAGAAAAAAAUUUAUUUUCGAAAAAUAACUUAAUAGUAAUAGCAACACCAUAUGAGUACUGAAAAUGAAACUCUUCAUGAUAUAACUUGUUCAUAAAGAAAUAAAUGUCUACUAUCAAUUCUUUGAGUCGAAUAUGAAACAUCUAAAAAUAAAGGAAACAUAAACCUAAAGAGAACUCAUUUUUUAUUUCACAUUUAUAAAAUACUGCAGAUUCCAUUUCUAAAUGCCAUCCCAAAAUUACAGGGACAAGAAAAAAAAAAAAACCAUAAAUUUCCAAGAGCGCAUUUCCAGAAUGAUUACUCCUCACCCAGAAUAAACACAUUUCCAAGAAGAUUG